AUGUUAGAACAGUUACUGAUAUUCACGAGAGGAGGAUUGAUCCUCUGGACAUGCAAGGAGCUCGGGAAUGCCCUCAAAGGAUCUCCCAUCGACACCUUGAUCCGAUCUUGCCUUCUGGAGGAGCGAUCCGGUGCCGCUUCAUAUAACUACGAUGCUCCCGGUGCCGCUUACACCCUCAAAUGGACCUUCCAUAACGAGCUCGGCCUGAUUUUCGUGGCGGUUUAUCAGCGAAUUCUCCAUCUGUUGUAUGUGGAUGAUCUGCUCUCGAUGGUGAAGCGCGAGUUCUCGGAGAUUUAUGAUCCGAAGCGCACCGUAUAUAAUGAUUUCGAUGAUGUUUUUCGGCAGCUUCGUAAGGAGGCUGAGGCUAGGGCCGAGGAAAUGAAGAAGUCAGGUCAGCUGGCGAAGGCUGUGAACGGGCCGAGUAAGAUGCAGCGGCAAACUACAUCUCAGAAGGUUGGAUCGGAUGGGGGUGGUAAGAAGAAGAGCGGCGGGGCUGGCAAGGAUGGCGGUGAUGGUGAUUCUGGGAAGGGCCGAAAAUUGGAGAACGGGCAUUCCAAUGGGCAUGUUGGAAUGGAGAAGUCUCCAGCAGACGGUGUUCCUARGAGCAAAGAGAAUGGGGCUUCCGGAACUGGGGCUUUUGACGUAAGUAAACUUCAGAAGCUAAGAUCAAAAGGUGGGAAGAAAUCAGAUACCGUUGCUAACAAGACCUCCAAGGCGGAGGCUCAGAAAAAAUCAAAGCCAAAGGCAAAUAGAGUUUGGGACGAUUCUCCUCCGGAGUCAAAAUUGGAUUUUACAGAUCCUGUGGAUGAGAAAGGGGAUGAAAAUAUUGCAGUUAUGGCAGAUCAGGGUGAAAGUCUGAUGGACCAGGAAGAAGUUAUCAGCAGCGAAAGUGAGACUGAAGAAGAAGAGGAAUUGGCAAAGAACACCAAGGCUGAUGCAAAGAAGGGGUGGUUUUCGUCAAUGUUUCAGAGUAUUGCAGGAAAGGCAAAUUUAGAGAAAUCAGAUUUGGAACCAGCCUUGAAAGCUCUCAAGGAUAGGCUUAUGACCAAGAAUGUGGCUGAAGAAAUAGCUGAGAAGCUUUGUGAAUCAGUAGCAGCUAGUCUUGAAGGUAAAAAGCAGGCAUCUUUUACAAGGAUAUCUUCAACUGUUCAGACAGCAAUGGAAGAGGCGUUGGUUCGUAUCUUGACUCCUAAACGUUCUAUUGACAUAUUGAGGGAUGUUCAUGCGGUAAAGGAGCAUGGAAAACCAUAUGUCAUUGUUUUUGUUGGCGUCAAUGGAGUUGGGAAAUCCACCAACCUUGCUAAGGUUGCCUACUGGCUCCUGCAGCAUAAGAUCAAAGUUAUGAUGGCAGCUUGUGAUACAUUUCGUUCUGGAGCUGUUGAGCAGCUUCGUACGCAUGCCCGUAGGCUUCAGAUUCCUAUAUUCGAGAAGGGCUAUGAGAAAGAUCCUGCCAUUGUAGCUAAGGAAGCCAUCCAAGAGGCUACCCGUAAUGGUUCAGAUGUGGUUCUUGUUGAUACAGCUGGGCGGAUGCAGGAUAAUGAACCCUUGAUGAGAGCACUAUCCAAGCUCAUCUACCUCAACAAUCCAGAUUUGGUCCUCUUUGUUGGAGAAGCAUUGGUUGGGAAUGAUGCCGUUGAUCAAUUAUCAAAAUUUAAUCAGAAACUGGCAGACCUCUCAACCUCGCCUAAUGCAAUGUUAAUUGAUGGAAUCCUGCUCACAAAGUUUGACACCAUCGAUGACAAGGUUGGAGCUGCACUUUCCAUGGUUUACAUCUCUGGGGCACCAGUGAUGUUUGUUGGCUGUGGUCAGUCCUACACAGACCUCAAGAAGCUCAAUGUCAAAUCCAUUGUGAAGACUCUCCUCAAAUGAGAACUUGGUCUUGUGAUUUUCUUUUAUCUUGAAGUUGUGUGGCUAUUAUAUCACUGAUCUUUCACCUUGUUGCUAAACUGCGUUUUUUCCCCCAAUGACCUCAUUAUCUUGGCUUUGGAGGUAACAGUAUUUUGUUUUAGGUGGUGAGAUCUAUCAUGCAAUAUCGCAAGAUGUUGCCAAGGAAUAUCACCCUCAGGGCUCAGCAAGAAAUUACCAAUAAAGGAUUCCUGAGAGUUUCUGUUGAUUAACAUUUCACUCCUUUCAAUGCUAUAAAAGUUCAAGACAGGCUAGGGCUGCCAA